CUAUUUGAAAGGGGUCACCAGUACAGUACAAAAGUUUGAGAACCACUGAUAUAACUGAUUUUUUGGUCAGGGAAAGGUUUCACAUUAUCUACCUUUGCCUGUUUAUUGACCUGAAAAAGGCUUUUGGGAACAAGUCAGUGUAAGGCUAUGAAGGAGAAUGAGGAUGUGUACCUUCAGCCUCACUGUAGGAGUGAGUCAGGUGGGUAUGUAUUGUGACACAAAAGGGUCCACAUGGCUAGCAACAAGUAAUCAAGAGUCAGAGGUGGGAGGAAAUGGAGAGAGGAAAGAGGGAGCCAGAAAAAAGCGGAACAGGAGGGAAGAGCCCGAGUGGACAUUAUGGAGAUGAACGGAGGAACUCAGGAGAGGUGUAUGGAGCGAGAAGGGGGAGCUUGGGAGGAGGUCAUGCAGCAGGCUGGGGGAACCCGAGGCAGAUCAUGGAGCUGGAUGGAAGAUUCCAGGAGGAAAUCACAGAGCAGGCUAUGGGAGCCCCAGGGAAGAUCAUGGAGCUGGAUGGAAGAGCCUGGGAGGAAGUCACAGAGCAAGCUGCGGCAGCCCGAGGGAAGAUCAUGGAGUUGAGUGGAAGAGCCCAGGCAGAGGUCACGGAGCAGGCUGGAGGAGCCCAAGAGAAGAUCAUGGAGCUGGAUGGAAGAGCCUAAGAAGUGGUCACAGAGCAGACUGUGGGAGCCCAAGGGAAGAUCAUGGAGUUGGAUGGAAGAGCCUGAAUAGAGGUCAUGGAGCAGGCUGGAGGAGACAAAGGGAAGAUGAUGGAGCUGGCUGUAGGAGCCCAGGCAGAGGUCACGGAGCAGGCUCGGGAAGGCCAGGAAGUGGGCAUGAAGCUGGUGAAGGACCUGUUGGCAGUGGUUGCCACUUCUGCUCUUCCCCAAGAUGAGAAGACAGAAUUGGAGUUUGACACCCUGCAGUUUAUGAUGGGGGGUAAUGUACACGUGGUCGGGCAAUUGCAGAGCCAACACACAGUGGAAGAGUUUCAACAGGAAGUGUUUGCUAAGUUCCCCAUACCAGCAUUCCGUGUGACUAGCACAGUGGCCUGUAAUCAAGUGACCAGCCGCAGGGCUGAGAGAGGCCUCUCACUCCAUGAAUUCGGCUGCUCCAGGCACCAGGACAGAAUCUACUCACAGCUUAUCUUCUUCCUGUGCAGAGCCGCCUCCUUGACACGCUGGGCUGGGCUAGACCGAUUGCUGGAGAUGCUACAGCAGCUGAAGAGAUGUAUCUAAUUCCAGUGGCCCUGGUUGGGGUGAUUGUGCAAGCAGACCCAGACCCAGAGCUGGAUCUAGAGCAGGAGGUGAAGGCACUGCGGUGGCUGAAGUGCCUGCUGGAUGGAGUCUUCUGUUGUGAUUUGUUGCCAGGCCAUGAGGGGACAGAGCAAGAGAUGCAGGUUCAGGUGGCUGUCUACCAGUCAGGCUGGCCUCAGCGGGCUCUAGAGGUUAAGAGAGCAGCCUGCCAGGCAAUACGAGCGGCCCUGAAGUUCUGAACAGGCAACAUGUGAGGGUGCAUCAGUAUUACAAUGGCUUCUGUAUUACGACUGAAAAGCUCAAUUAUCACUGGAAAAUCAAUUCCAAUUUUGUCCCAGUUAUCUGUGUGCAUUUUUAAUUUUGAAAACACUUAUUGCUUAAUAUUUGUUGCAAAACAAAACCACUUUAGAUAUCUGCAUUGUGACAUCACAUAAAUAUCUAAUGUUAAUUAAACAGGUGACUGAACUUCAGAGCCAAAGUGUGCUAUAGCAAAAUAUGGAAGCUGGAUGGCUCAAUGAACGUUGUGUUUUGAAUUAUAGCUACUAAGCAGUGACAUUUGGAAGAUUUCCAAGUACCAUAGCUUUCUCCUGGCCUGUAAAUUGUGGAAUGAGCCCAGUUUGCAACAUUUAUAGCUUAGAUGAGUUUUUUUCACCCCAGCACUAUCCCUAUAUUUGUUGGACUUGUCUUUGCAACUGAAAUGGAUUGUAGACUCAUAUGAUCAUUUUCACUUCUUUAGGAUACAGGCCCCAUGUUUCAAAAAAGCUUUAUUCCAUUCUUGUCUGCUUGAUUUUUAUACAUAGAAAUUUCCUGAGGUGAUGAAAAUACCAAAAGCAUAAAUGAAUGGAAUAUUUUCUUUUUUUGGUUCAAUUUUUAUUGGGAAUCCUCUAUUAAAAGCAGCCAUACUGGUCAGACCAAUGGUCCAUCUAGCCUAGUAUCUUGUCUUUCAACAAGCUGCUUCAUAGGGAAUUAAAAGGGAAAUUAUAGAGUAAUCCAUCCUGUCAUUCUCUCCAAGCUUCUGGCAGUUAGAGGCUAGGGAUGCCCAGAGCAUGGGGUUGUAUCCCUGUCCAUCUUGGCUAAUAGCCAUUGAUGGACUUAUCUGUCCAUCCUCUAUAUUACACUGGGGAAGUAGCUAGGACUUACCAUUAUAGCAGGAUCAUAGCUCCUCCAGGAGCUAAGAAAGUGGGGGCUGUCAUACUAAUAAUGAUUAACCCUUUACUAAAAUAUUAAUCAUUUACUAACAAUUUAUAAAUGGAACCUUACUCUGAAGUAUGACCACUAUUUGUAUUCCAGUAGUCCCUAGAGGGGCUAAUCAAAAUGGGCAUCAUUGUGCCAGGCAUUGCGAGAUUAAAGUACUUUAUGGAUUUCUGUUUUAAAGCUUUAGCUUGCUUCUCGUGAGCAGAAGCUACAGCUGAUGAAGGACAACCUCUGUUAUGGAAGAUGUCAGUCUAUUUGGUGGUCACUGAAUACCCAAUGGCACUUUUAACAAGAGACAGGAUGUUAACUAUGGGAUCCAGGCCAAAUCCUUAUUCUGAUAAGUGCAUUUUAACUAUCUACAUUCCAGCAACUGAAUAGGAUAUUCUGCACCUCUUCUUCUCAAAUAUCAUGCAUAGUCACUCUAGGGUGAGAAACAGCUGCCUAGUUUCAACCCACAGGUGGCUGUAUAUGGAUUUAAGUGUUCCAUAUUUUAGCCACAUGAUAGGGUGGGUUAAGUAAUUCAUGUAUUUUAAAAGUUGCAUAAUUUAUGCAUUUGGUUGAGAUCUUCAAAGACACUCAGGGGAUUUGGACUCACUGGUCCUAUUAAAAUUAAUAGGAAUUGAAUAUCUAAAUCCCUUAUGCAUCUUUGAAAAAAAUCUCAUUUAACUCAAGGUAGCCUUCUCUCUCUGCAAGGCCACAAAAGGGUCCUGGCCAACAGAACUGCUUUUCAUUGGGCAUGGCCAGGGCUGUAUGUGCAGGGGGAUACUCAUUCUCUAUAGAGCUCAGUUCUACCUGAGCUCUGAGAACAAGAAAAAAAGGUGAAGCUAGGCUGAGCGCAUCAUAUGAUAAUGCCCUCCCCCCAAAAAAAUCAAUCACUGAGAGAGUUGCUGUCUUCCAACUCUGAACAAGGAACUAGGGAGGAAAAAAGAAAGCAGUAAUACUGCUAAAGCUAUUCUGGGACUUCCCCAGCCCUCCCUUCAUGUCUAGCUUCCUGCUGUAGGUUAAAGAAAAUAAUACAUAAUCUCACAUUUUGGACCUCUUAUUUUUCUUUACAAGAUGUUUUAAACAAAUUAAACAGCAAAUUAUAUAUCCAGAUGGGUCACUGGGUUCACCACUUGUUAAGGUCUGGUCAUCAUGUGACCUGGAGUAGGGUCUUGUCCAGUUGUUUCACUUAGAUCAUCAAAUUCCUCAGAAUUUAGAUUACCGUUCAAUAGGUUUAACAUUUUAACAGGAAUAUCUCCCUUCACGAAGGCCAUGAUGUGAGCACUUUGCUACUAGGGUCAUGCAGCAACUCAAACAAGCAUGGAGAUAGAAAACAAGUAGCACUGUCAGCUUUGUACAGAAUCCCUUGAUGAGCCUGAACCUUGUUAUAGAUUAGGCUGUGAUCUCCCCUCAACCCUCCCCAUCCUUUUUUUAAAAUUCUUUUGAUAGAUCUCCCUUUGAAAUAUAACACACCUGCUAUCGCUGCAAAGAAAAGGCUUACUUUACAAAAAAUGAAACUCUACCUUUACAAGAGUCAUCAGUAGGACUGGAGCCUUUCUGAAUUCCACUGAGCCUAAGGAGCCUUUCUGAUGUUCUUACUUCAUCAGUGAAUAAGUUCUCAAAUUUGCUUUUCCCAUUCUCAGAAUUGGUCUUGCAGACAUCACCAAGACCUUUCAAAUAAGCCUCACAUGAUGUUGCUACAACAUUCCUUUUAAGUGGCAGUUGUAGUGAAGAAUUAGGAGAAUUUUCAGAACAUAAUCAACACCUAAACAUCUAAAGCCCUCUCAGAAACGGUUUGGUUGAAACACCUCAAAUUUGGGCAAACGUCUGUCCUCUUGUCACAGACAACACAUAUAUUUAAAGUACAAGUGACCUAUUUUGAGGAUAAAAAUCAGACAUAAAUGGGAAUCAAGUCUCAACUUUAACUAUGGAGCGGCUAUUGUCUCUUCCUAAAUCCAAGCACAAUGCAAUUCUUAUUUCUAAAAAAAAAAUUUUUUUUUUGGAUGAACAGGUGUACACAUUUUCUCUGUAGCUCCUUUCUUCUUACUGUUUGGAAUGCAUCAGAUGAAACCCAAAAUGUGCUCUAAAUCCACAGAAAUUCCUUCAGUUCUAGAGCACUAACUCUUCCAUGAAUAUGCAUGUUUCAGAGUACAAAACUGUACCAACCAUAUUAUUUUAAAUUUACUUUUUAGUAUAUACAUUAACACUCAAAAAUGUGAUGAAACACAAAUACACAUCAUGAUGAGAUACAGACUGCAAAGUUAAAUAAAAAGCAGACUUUUUACAGUUUCCGAUGAACAUAAACUACAAUAAGUGCAUAGGCCAAAUAUUUCCUAUUUGAGUAGCACAGCAAAAAGGAAAAAAAAUGAACAUUUUAAAAUGAUACUGCAAGACUAUAUUCUCAAUACAACAACACAUGCAUCUUGCUGUGUCUUAAAUACUCUUUUGGCCCAAUACUAAAAUCCCCCCUUCCCCCCCCAGGUUGAACAAUGUAUUAUACCACAGAACCUUUAUCCAUAGAAUGACAAACUAAUUACAGGGCAAUAUUUUUUCUCUAGCUAAUAGUUAUUUCAAAGGAUAGGAAUUGUCUCCAUUUUAAGAGAUUUCAAGUAAAUACUUGGGGGUAUCCAUGUUCUCCUCUUGAUGCAGGCACAAUUUCCAUUAGUUUUAAGGGAAUAACAUGUGGGAACCAAGAGCAGAAUACACUCUCUUGGGCUCUAUUCAUCCAAAAUUCUUGCAGCUGUGAGUACCAGUUAUGAGGACAACAUGAAAUCUACUUUCAAAAUUCCAAGCACAAGAGUCUUGGAAGUCAGUUUGUGGUCAAGUGUUCCAUUCUUUACCAAAUAUGGAGGCAUAGAAUUCUUCCCCCUGUUGAUGGGCACAUAGGAAAUAUCGACCUCUUAAGUCAGUGGACUUUGACAGUCGUGCUCUGGAUAUUGACUUAUCACUAGUAGGAAGGGGAAACUUUACAAGAAAUUAAAGCAGUUUUGAGACCAUGGUGGCC